rnacentral:rRNA from 1 species
CCUACGGGUGGCAGCAGUGGGGGAUAUUGCACAAUGGGGGAAACCCUGAUGCAGCGACGCCGCGUGGGUGAAGAAGCGCCUCGGCGCGUAAAGCCCUUUCAGCCGGGAAGAAAAUGACGGUACCUGAAGAAGAAGCCCCGGCUCACUACGUGCCAGCAGCCGCGGUCAUACGUAGGGGGCAAGCGUUAUCCGGAUUUACUGGGGGUAAAGGGGGCGCAGACGGCGAUGCAAGCCAGGAGGGAAAGCCCGGGGCCCAACCCCGGGACUGCUGUUGGAACUGCGUGGCGAGAGUGCAGGAGGGGCAGGCGGAAUUCCUGGUGUAGCGGUGAAAUGCGUAGAUAUCAGGCGGAACACCGGUGGCGAAGGCGGCCUGCUGGACUGCAACUGACGUUGAGGCACGAAAGCGUGGGGAGCAAACAGGAUUAGAUACCCGUGUAGUC